GAGUUUGAUCAUGGCUCAGUGACGAACGUUGGCGGUGCGCUUAAUGCAUGCAAGUCGAGGGAGAACCAUUCGCUCCGUAAGGUCCGGAUGGGGAAACCGGCGAACGGGUGCGUAACACGUGAGGAACCUGCCCCGAAGAUCGGGAUAGCCCGGGGAAACCCGGAUUAAUACCGAAUAUCCUGUCCGGACCGCAUGGUCUGGUUAGGAAAUGGUCCGCCGCUUCGGGAUGGCCUCGCGGCCUAUCAGCUAGUUGGUGAGGUAACGGCUUACCAAGGCAAAGACGGGUAGCUGGUCUGAGAGGACGAUCAGCCACACUGGGACUGAGACACGGCCCAGACUCCUACGGGAGGCAGCAGCAGGGAAUAUUGCACAAUGGGCGAAAGCCUGAUGCAGCGACACCGCGUGCGGGAUGAAGGCCUUCGGGUUGUAAACCGCUUUCAGGAGGGACGAAAUUGACGGUACCUCCAGAAGAAGGCCCGGCCAACUACGUGCCAGCAGCCGCGGUAAUACGUAGGGGCCAAACGUUGUCCGGAUUUAUUGGGCGUAAAGGGCUCGUAGGCGGUUCAACAGUCCGGUCGUGAAAUGCCGGGGCUCAACCCCGGAACGCCGGUCGAAACUGUUGUGACUAGGGUCCGGUAGAGGUGAGUGGAAUUCUCGGUGUAGCGGUGGAAUGCGCAGAUAUCGAGAGGACACCAGUUGCGAAGGCGGCUCACUGGGCCGGUACCGACGCUAAGGAGCGAAAGCAUGGGGAGCAAACAGGAUUAGAUACCCUGGUAGUCCAUGCCGUAAACUGUGAACACUAGGUGUGGCGGAUCUAUUGAUGUCUGCCGUACCGUAGCUAACGCGUUAAGUGUUCCGCCUGGGGAGUACGGCCGCAAGGCUAAAACUCAAAGGAAUUGACGGG
rnacentral:rRNA from 1 species